rnacentral:rRNA from 1 species
CGUAGGUGGCAAGCGUUGUCCGGUAUUAUUGGGCGUAAAGCGCGCGCAGGCGGUUCCUUAAGUCUGAUGUGAAAGCCCCCGGCUCAACCGGGGAGGUCAUUGGAAACUGGGGAACUUGAGUGCAGAAGAGAAGAGCGGAAUUCCACGUGUAGCGGUGAAAUGCGUAGAGAUGUGGAGGAACACCAGUGGCGAAGGCGGCUCUUUGGUCUGUAACUGACGCUGAGGCGCGAAAGCGUGGGGAGCAAACAGGAUUAGAUACCCUGGUAGUCCACGCCGUAAACGAUGAGUGCUAAGUGUUAGAGGGUUUCCGCCCUUUAGUGCUGCAGCUAACGCAUUAAGCACUCCGCCUGGGGAGUACGGCCGCAAGGCUG